rnacentral:tRNA from 1 species
GCGGAGGUGGCGGAAUUGGUAGACGUGUACGCUUGAGGGGCGUAUGGCAAUAGCCGUGGGGGUUCGAGUCCCCCCCUCCGCACCA